UUUGAAUCAUCCUUCUAAGACUGAUCGUGCUACCUAGUCCUUAUUUCGGUGCACCCUUCGAUUGAUGAGUUAGGAUCUUGUCAAGUCCUCACUCAUUUGAUCAUAUCGUCUUGCCCUCAAAAGCGAUAUUGUUCUCGAGAUUAGUAACAUACCGGUGGUUAGUAAUUUUCUGAAUAUCUUCUCGGUAGUAUUACCAGGUUGUCCCCUGACUGUUAUGUUGAGCUCGUGAUCAAGUUGGUUUCUUGUGAACCACCCUCUCUCCAAGAAUCGGUGUUAGAUAUCCCUGAGCUAGUUGGUUAAGCUUGACAACAACUUGGAGAGUUGGAAGAUAAAAGCUUGCCUGACUUAGUUCGUUCCAAAGGGAUAUUCUUGUGUAGUGUGUGUUGAAGAAAGAUGAUAUCUUCAUCGAUUGGUCCCUCUGAUCAGUUGCUGGACCUAUUGUCUUAUCAAUCCUUUGAUUUGAGUGUGGGCUAUCGUCAAAUCAAUGCUCGUAAUGUUGUCUUACUCGUGGUUGAUCCCUCGAGCAUACACCAUUACAUCUUUGGUCUGACCAAUGCUAUCACCGUGUUCACAUGAUGGUGGAAGUCCAGUGAUAUGGAAAUUCUGAUGAGUUGUUGUUGAGCCCAUCAGUAGCAUUUCGUCUCCCCCCAUGAAUCAUGUUGAACAUCAACCUAGUGUUGAAAAUUUUGUAAGCAAUGCCUUCGUGCUCCGUUCAUGAAUCCUAUGUUUGGAUGAAAGUAGUGACUUCCUCUAAUUCAUGUGCAUCUGAUGUAAGUUGCCGCCAUGAAUUCGAGGAAGAUUGUUUUGUUUCCUUUGGAAUCAUCCCAAAUUAGUCAUGCAUACGUGCGAAGUAUUCUGUAGUCUGGAGGCUUGCAACCUCCAUUCUAUAUGUGUCCCUAGCACACCAAGCCACUGAUUGAUUUGUUCAAGGUUAAUAAGUUCUAAGUGCUAGUCCCGAAGGUACCAGACGGAUUUGUACAAAACUUCGAUAUCCUCGAUGAUGGUUCCCCCUCCUGAACUCGGUAGUGUUUUAUUAUAAGACUACUUUGUGGUCAUGCUUGUCUGGGACAACGUGUUCACAUGUUUGUAGCAGAACCAGCUCAUGUUUUGGAGCUUGCUAUCGUAGUUCAUUUCCCGAGAAUCUCGCAACGUCAUCUCGUCGAUUUGUGUUGCAAACUUUCAUUUUUCUUCCUAGACUCGAUGAGUCUGGAAUAUCCUGACACCAACCAGAUCUGAAUCUCAGGAAGAUAUGAUGGUUGGAAUGUUUCCCAAGAACUACAAUAUUGGUCCAUCUAUAACCGGUAAAGUGGAUGUCGUGGCCAACACACCCAGCCGGAAGACCUGUUAUUAUAAUAUCUUGAUUGAGGAAGUUGGCCACCUCCCCAUAAGGAUUUCGUAGGAUCUACUCCCUAGUUGUUCUAUAUGGAUUUUUGUGCUCCCGAAGUCCGACCCUUUUACUUGAUGGUCUGCUUACCAAACCAUUUCAAUAAAUGGAUUACGCUAGCACAUUAAGGAGAGCAUUAUAAGCGGAGUGCUAAAUGUCUCUCGGUCGAUCAUCCAGAUUUUAUUUCCUUGGCCCCGCCAAGGGUGAAAUCUGAGAAAGUGUUAUCUUCCUUUGCAUCUACAUCAUCCAUCAUCAUUCAUCAUGGUAGCAAGUUGUGUUGCCAGGAUCCUUGACACGGAUAUUGGUAAAAUCUUGAUGAUUAUGGAAAUGCUCAAGUUCUUGAGAGCAUGCGCAAGUGCUAGGUUUGAUCGUCGGCAUUAACUGUAUAGUGCUCUCAGUUUCCUCGGCAAUGCUAUGACCUUUUCAAACAGUGAAUUCACUCUCUAUUGUUGGGUUCUUCCCCAGUUACCAGAAUCAUUCCCAGCAUUUGCAUUUUGUUCCCAGCUUGCACCGCCAAUGUGCCAUUCUACCAUGGGUCUCUUCCAUUUCCGGUGGUAAGAAAAUUCAUCCAUUACGUUGUCUUCAACAAGGUAAUCUACAUCAUCCAAGUCCGAGUAUGCCAUUCUACCGACCCCCUCCAAACGAUCGCUCGAGAAUUGCCUUAGGCUGGUUUAAAGAGUUUCAAUGAUCUCUGAAUCAAAGGUAAUUCUUUUUGCCACUUAAGGGGAUAUAUCUACGAGUCACCAUCCCUAAGGUGCCUCGUUGUGGUAUCAUGGCAACUCAACUCCUUGCUGCGUUGACAACCAAUUACCACCUACCUAAGCGUGGAAUGGUUGCCUACCAAUUUGAACCUUCGUCAUCCAUUUCUUUACCAUCAUUCCUAAUGUGUGUUUGGUGUCUCAACUCAAGAGUUGUUCCUACGUCUCUCCAUGAACUGAUCUUGAGUUGCUCGAUCUUCAAGAGGAGUAAAUCCUGUAGGGUUUCCCCCUUCUUUCUGUUGUUGUGUCGAGUGAAGAUCUCGAAAGCAAAGACGUCAAGACCAAAAUGAUGGAAUGAAUCAACCUCUUUGAGAAGGGCAAAUGGAUCAUGAAGAUUGUGAUAGUUGUGACUUCCCUUUUCCUCUUACCUCACGUCUUGAAUCUCGGGGCGAGAUUCUUGUUUAGUGGGGGUGAGUUGUCACAGCCCUAGAGCUUGCUUGUAACUAGUGGCAUUGCAUCCAUGCAUCAUGUCUAAAUUUCUUUAAAUUUGAAUUGGGAAAUUGGAGAGCCUCAGAAAUCAUUUAAAAAAAUAUUGGCAAGAAUAAAAUGCAAACCAAUAUUUUUGGAGUGACUGAAACAUUUAUUUUGGGCCUUUGAAUUAAUUCAAUAACUAUUUGCAUUGGAUAUAUAUUUGAUAUAUAAAUAAUAUAUGUCCAAUAAUACUGGAACAUUUUAUGUGGUUUGGUAUAUUUUAGUUCUAGCCACAUAACUAUAUUCAGGAUUUUAUAAAAUGGUUUAGUAUUUUACUAAACUAAAACAACACAGAACAAAAUAAAAAAAACAGAAAUAGGAAAAGCAGAGAGGAGAGAAACCCUACCUGGCGCUCACCUCUCAGCCCACCUGGCCCAAUUCCAGCGGCCCAGCCCACCGAACCGCCACCGUCUCCCACCUCGCGCCAGAAGGACGCGAGGCGUGUGGCCACCGCACGCCGGCACGCGCCGAGCCACCUCCUGCUUGCCGCUCUCCUUCCCUGACGCUCUGGACGCCUCCCCCAAGCGCCACGCACCCCCCUGACCCCUCUCUCCCUCGCCUGUGUCCUCUCCCCUUCCCUGGCUCUCUCCCGAGCGGAGCUCGUCGCCGCCGCUCGCCGUAGCCACGCCUACCGUGCUCCCCUCGCCUCCCCGUGUCGCCUGAAAGCUCCGCCACCCUCCUCUCCUUCGAGCAACCCGAGCCCCGUGUGCUUGCAAGGCCCGAGUCCACCGCACCGACCUCGCCCGAGUCCGCCGUCGCCGGAGAUCCCCUUCAACACCGUCGCCGCAUCAGCUCGUCCCCGACCCCGCCGGUGGCCUCUACGGGUGCUCUGUGAGCCUAGCUACCCCUCCUACCCUUCCUCUCUCGCCCCCGAGCCGUGUAGCCACCGCACGAAGAUCACCCGCACGCACCGCCGUGGAUCUCGUCGCCGACGUGCUCUCGGCAAUCCUCCGGCCACCUCUCGGUGUCCAACGCACUCACCACGCUGUGUUGAGUCCAACCGUGCACACCCCGCACCUCACCGCACACCCUAGCCUCGAGUUCGUCCCCAACCAAACUCCGGUGGCCGCCUAGGUCGUCGCCGGCGCCAACUCCGGCCACCCCGACCCCAACUAACUCCACCAAGAACUGCGGUUUGUCCCCAGCUCCACGUAGAUGCCCUCCGCGCCCCAUUUGGUGGCCGGAACGGCCAAAACCACUUCUGCCGCCGCGUCGUGCUCGCCGGCGUCUAAACGCCGGUGCAGCCGUGUUGACUUUGACCCCGGGUGGGCCCCGGUUGACUCUAUUGAGUCAAUGACAGGUGGGGCCCCCUUCUGCUAAUUAUCCAGAUUAGUUUAAACUAAAUUAAAUUAGUUAAUUAGCCACUGACACCCUGGACCCACGCGUCAGGUUUGACCUGGACCGGUUCUGUUGACUUGCUGAGGUCAGCAUGACCUCAUGUUGACGCAGUAAUCCUUUUCUGGAAAUAAAAUAAAUCUAAAAUGAUUUAUAAAUUCCAGAAAAUAACCCAAACUUCAAAAAUUCAUAUAAAUUCAACCGUAGCUCGAAAUCAAACAAAUUAUAUAUGAAAAAUGAUCAGAAAAAUCCAAUCUAUCCAUCUGUAUUAGUUUCAUGCAUGUUUAAAGAAACUAACUUGAGGUUUAGUGCAGAACAAGAUAAAACACUUUAAAGGGCCAUUUAUGAGUUUGAAAUUUGAAUCUUUGGUUCAAAUUGAUUCAAACCCAUCCGGUUCUAGUUGCAUUAGCCCAACACACUCUUAUUGCCAUGUUUCAUGCAUGCAUCAUAUUAUCGCACAUUGUUUGGUGAUGGUUGUGUAUCAGUGUUCUUGCGGCAGGUUCUGCCUCCGAGGAGUACCGUGACUACCCUAGUGAAGAACCGUAUCCGUGCAUCGAUCCAUCAGGCAAGCAACCAACCAUUUGAUCAUAUUGAUACAAUCCCAUGUUCUUGCUCCUGCUCCCUUUUACUGCAUUAAGACAACGCGUUUCAAACUGCUGUGUGCUACGGUAGUUGAACCCAUUUCCUCUGCAUGACCUGUCAUUGCCACAGUAACUAGAUGAAACCCACUAGCAUGUGUAGGAGUUGUUUGAGCCAUAUGUAUGUGUUGUUCCUACCUUGCUAUGCCUGCUAUGCUUAGAGUCGUGUCAGGUCUGGUUCAUCUGGGUGAUGGGCUAGAGUGAAAUGAUCGUGCCGGUAAUGAGAGUGAUGUGGUGAACACGGUUUGGUAAAGGUAUCGAUGAGAGGCCAUGUAGGAGUACAUGGUGGGUUGUUUCAUUGAAGCCGACCUUAAGCACUGAGAUCUGCAUAUGUGAUUUAAGAUUCAGCUACUACCAUGCAUUGGGCCCUGAAAUAUGACCCCGCUCGACUUCUUAUUCACCCUUGUCCUCUGU
rnacentral:lncRNA from 1 species